AAUAUAGACAAUGAUCAUUAAAUAUUUCUUAUUAUUAUAAUGUUAUAUCACACUCAAUCAAAGUAGACCUUUUAUGUUUAAAAGUGGCAGCCAUCUUGUUCGCAUGAACGCAGGCAGCAGUGUUUGGGCAUGAAUCUCGUGAAACUGAAAUCGGAUACAGAAACUCCCGAACAUCGCUGGACUUCCAUCAUCGCCUGCGUUCGGUUCUAUUCAACUUAGAAGGGUACUGUUCGGUGGGAUCAUUCGUCUGGAUGAAGGGAACAAACUCCAGGGUAAGACUAUUGACUCUGUUCGGUAGUUUGCUCAUUUUCA